rnacentral:rRNA from 1 species
AGUAACGCGUAAGGGACCUGACCCUGGAGAGGGCCACCCCACCGAAAGGUGGGCUAAUACCCGUACGUUGGCCGUUGCAUGGCGGGUCAGGAAAGUUCGGCCAACCCGUGGCGCCGGGAGGCCCUUGCGUCCUAUCAGGUAGUUGGCGGGGUAACGGCCCACCAAGCCAAAGACGGGUAUCCGGUGUGAGAGCAUGAACGGUCAGAGGGGGACUGAGACACGGCCCCCACUCCUACGGGAGGCAGCAGCAGGGAAUUUUGCGCAAUGGGCGAAAGCCUGACGCAGCGACGCCGCGUGGGGGAAGAAGGCCUUCGGGUUGUAAACCCCUUUUCUGGGGGAAGAGCAAGGUCGGUACCCCAGGAAUAAGCCCCGGCUAACUACGUGCCAGCAGCCGCGGUAACACGUAGGGGGCAAGCGUUGUCCGGAUUUAUUGGGCGUAAAGAGCUCGUAGGCGGUUGCGUAAGUCGGAUGUGAAAACUCAGGGCUCAACCCGGAGACGCCAUCCGAUACUGCGCUGACUAGAGUCCGGUAGAGGAGCAUGGAAUUCCUGGUGUAGCGGUGAAAUGCGCAGAUAUCAGGAGGAACACCAGCGGCGAAGGCGGUGCUCUGGGCCGGAACUGACGCUGAGGAGCGAAAGCGUGGGUAGCGAACAGGAUUAGAUACCCUGGUAGUC